CCUACGGGUGGCAGCAGUGGGGAAUAUUGGGCAAUGGGCGCAAGCCUGACCCAGCAACGUCGCGUGAAGGAUGACGGCCCUCGGGUUGUUAACCUCCUUUUGUAGGGACGUAGCAAGUGACGCUACCUCACGAAUAUGUCACGGCUAACACCGCGCCAGCAGCCGCGGUAAGACGUAGGUGGCGAGCGUUAUCCGGAUUUAUUGGGUGUAAGGGGGGUGUAGGCGGGAUGGCAAGUCAGAUGUGAAAGUUAUGGGCUCAACCCAUAGUCUGCAUUUGAAACUGGAUUUCUUGAGUGCUGGAGAGGAAAUCGGAAUUCCGGGUGUAGCGGUGAAAUGCGUAGAUAUCAGGAAGAACGCCGAUGGCGAAGGCAGAUUACUGGACUGUAACUGACGCUGAGGCGCGAAAGCGUGGGGAGCAAACAGGAUUAGAUACCCCAGUAGUC
rnacentral:rRNA from 1 species